AGUUUCUCACUUUUCACCUCCAUCACCUUUUGUUGAUACCUCUAAUCCUGUUCCACCUGCAACUUUCCCUGCUUCAGCACUCCCUGUUUCUUCUAUUUUGCCAUCUCAUCACCUUCUCACCUCUCAGACUAUGUUUGUUCUACAAUCCUCCCUAGCUCCUCUAUUCCUGUCAAUUCCAAGGUGUCUUUUAUUGACCUACACAUGCAUAAACCUCAG
rnacentral:lncRNA from 1 species